GUGACGAGAACAUGGACACUUAAGCUUCUCUUAUACAAAUCUCUCGCGUCUUCUGUUUUCAGUGCACAGGUUCUUCCUAGAAGCAGCGAGAGUAUUAGAGGUAGUAAGGAAUUUGUUAUUCUCGUUUGUUAGAAUGAAUAGUUUUUUUGUUGUAUAGUAGUUUAGCUCUUUUGUUGUAUAAGAGGAAUCAAUAUGUACUUGAUCCUUUGAGCACAGAUGUAAUUUGGAACCUUAGUUUGUUUUGAACUCUAGUUGUAUGUCUUUGGCGUUGGAUUUGUAAAUAAGAGUUUUUGCUAAAUGUUUAGUUAUGUAAUAUUUACAUGAAUACCUUAAGUUUCAGCCAA